UACGUAGGGUGCAAGCGUUGUCCGGAAUUAUUGGGCGUAAAGAGCUCGUAGGCGGUUUGUUGCGUCGGCUGUGAAAUCCCGAGGCUCAACCUCGGGUCUGCAGUCGAUACGAGCAAACUAGAGUGUUGCAGGGGAGACUGGAAUUCCUGGUGUAGCGGUGAAAUGCGCAGAUAUCAGGAGGAACACCGGUGGCGAAGGCGGGUCUCUGGAACGCAACUGACGCUGAGACGCGAAAGCGUGGGGAGCAAACAGG
rnacentral:rRNA from 1 species